UAGUACAAAUGAUGUGCGUUUCCGCUAC
rnacentral:sRNA from 1 species